GGGCGUGCUCAAUACAUGCAGUCGAACGUGAACAGGUGCACCCUUAGUAAGUGGCGCACGGGUGAGACGUAGGUUAUCUGCCUAUUAGUGGGGAAUAACACAGCGAAAGCUGUGCUAAUGCCGCAUAAGUAAGCAAUUAGAAAGGGGCGGUCGCAAGACGUCUCGCUGAUAGAAGAGCCUGCGGCCUAUUAGCUAGUUGGUGGGGUAAUGGCCUACCAAGGCAACGAUAGGUAUCCGGUCUGAGAGGAUGAUCGGACACACUGGAACUGAGACACGGCCCAGACUCCUACGGGAGGCAGCAGUUGGGAAUCUUGGACAAUGGGGGAAACCCUGAUCCAGCCAUGCCGCGUGAGUGAUGAAGGCCUUCGGGUUGUAAAACUCUUUCGACGGGGACGAUAAUGACGGUACCCGUAGAAGAA
rnacentral:rRNA from 1 species